rnacentral:rRNA from 1 species
GCAUCGAUGAAGAACGCAGCGAAUUGCGAUAAGUAAUGUGAAUUGCAGAAUUCAGUGAAUCAUCGAAUCUUUGAACGCAGCUUGCGCUCUCUGGUAUUCCGGAGAGCAUGCCUGUUUCAGUGUCAUGAAAUCUCAACCACUAGGGUUUCCUAAUGGAUUGGAUUUGGGCGCCUGCGAUCUCUGAUCGCUCGCCUUAAAAGAGUUAGCAAGUUUGACAUUAAUGUCUGGUGUAAUAAGUUUCACUGGGUCCAUUGUGUUGAAGCGUGCUUCUAAUCGUCCGCAAGGACAAUUACUUUGACUCUGGCCUGAAAUCAGGUAGGACUACCCGCUGAACUUAAGCAUAUCAAUAAGCGGAGGA